UACGGAGGGUGCAAGCGUUAUCCGGAUUUACUGGGUUUAAAGGGUGCGUAGGCGGAUAGGUAAGUCAGGGGUGAAAUCUUCGAGCUUAACUCGGAAAUUGCCUUUGAUACUAUCUAUCUUGAAUAUUGUGGAGGUAAGCGGAAUAUGUCAUGUAGCGGUGAAAUGCUUAGAUAUGACAUAGAACACCCAUUGCGAAGGCAGCUUACUACGCAUAUAUUGACGCUGAGGCACGAAAGCGUGGGGAUCAAACAGG
rnacentral:rRNA from 1 species